ACAGCAAUUGAUAAAUUAAUGUUAUGGACGGCCAAUAGCUGGAAGAAGUGUGGUCCCGCACAGGUGAAUUUAGUAUUGCGAAUUCACUGUGAUCAAUUGCUGAUUACUUCAACUACUGAAAUCGUAGAAUCAAUAAGCAUGAGUAAUAAAAUUAAAGGAGUUUACAAAGACAACGCUUUGAUUUUAUUCAUCAGUCGAGCCCCUAAAGAAUUACGUAAAAUAAAGUUUCAAGUAAAAAUUAAUCCGAGUCACUGUUACCAGGAACUCAAUAAAUAUUUUCCUGUUAUUAAUCACAACUCUAUUCAGCCUAGCGAUAUUAUUACACCCCGUUAUUUAAAUGUCGACGAUGUAAUUUCCUACGUUUUGAAAACAAAAGAGCCUACAAAUGUGAUCUCAGAUUUACCGCCAUCGUUUAAAAAUUUCGUUCGACUCUGCCUUGUAGAUCCAACAUUUCCCAAAUUAGUACAAGAU